CCGAGUUAUACAACUCAUCAACCCUGUGAACAUACCUAAACGUUGCUUCGGCGGGAACAGACGGCCCCGUAACACGGGCCGCCCCCGCCAGAGGACCCCCUAACUCUGUUUCUAUAAUGUUUCUUCUGAGUAAAACAAGCAAAUAAAUUAAAACUUUCAACAACGGAUCUCUUGGCUCUGGCAUCGAUGAAGAACGCAGCGAAAUGCGAUAAGUAAUGUGAAUUGCAGAAUUCAGUGAAUCAUCGAAUCUUUGAACGCACAUUGCGCCCGCCAGUAUUCUGGCGGGCAUGCCUGUUCGAGCGUCAUUACAACCCUCAGGCCCCCGGGCCUGGCGUUGGGGAUCGGCGGAGCCCCCCGCGGGCACACGCCGUCCCCCAAAUACAGUGGCGGUCCCGCCGCAGCUUCCAUUGCGUAGUAGCUAACACCUCGCAACUGGAGAGCGGCGCGGCCACGCCGUAAAACCCCCAACUUCUGAACCAACAGGGAUUGCCCUAGUAACGGCGAGUGAAGCGGCAACAGCUCAAAUUUGAAAUCUGGCUCUCGGGCCCGAGUUGUAAUUUGUAGAGGAUGCUUUUGGUGAGGUGCCUUCCGAGUUCCCUGGAACGGGACGCCACAGAGGGUGAGAGCCCCGUCUGGUUGGACACCGAUCCUCUGUAAAGCUCCUUCGACGAGUCGAGUAGUUUGGGAAUGCUGCUCUAAAUGGGAGGUAUAUGUCUUCUAAAGCUAAAUACCGGCCAGAGACCGAUAGCGCACAAGUAGAGUGAUCGAAAGAUGAAAAGAACUUUGAAAAGAGAGUUAAAAAGUACGUGAAAUUGUUGAAAGGGAAGCGCUUGUGACCAGACUUGGGCUUGGUUGAUCAUCCAGGGUUCUCCCUGGUGCACUCUUCCGGCCCAGGCCAGCAUCAGUUCGCCCCGGGGGAAAAAGGCUUCGGGAAUGUGGCUCUCUCCGGGGAGUGUUAU
rnacentral:rRNA from 1 species